rnacentral:tRNA from 1 species
GCUUUGGUGGCGAAGUUGGUUAACGUGCCUUCCUGGCGAGAAGGAGGCCCAGGUUCGACUCCUGGCCGAAGCG